rnacentral:rRNA from 1 species
UACGUAGGGGGCAAGCGUUGUCCGGAAUUAUUGGGCGUAAAGCGCGCGCAGGCGGUCGAUUAAGUCUGGUGUAUAAACCAAGGGCUCAACCUUUGGACGCAUUGGAAACUGGUCGACUGGAGUGUAGGAGAGGAAAGUGGAAUUCCACGUGUAGCGGUGAAAUGCGUAGAGAUGUGGAGGAACACCAGUGGCGAAGGCGACUUUCUGGCCUAUAACUGACGCUGAGGCGCGAAAGCGUGGGGAGCAAACAGG